rnacentral:RNase_P_RNA from 1 species
CUAGUGGUAAUCUCGCACUUGGAGCACCCGUACGAGUACCCGGUUACUCUGGUCCGUUUGCUUCGGGAAGGUCUGAGAUAAGACAUGCAAAUAUGCCUCAGCAAGGCAGCGUCUUGAAAGGGGCGUCCGCUACCAGCAAUUACAUCGUUUGUGGAUGACGCGGCGUCCAGCGUGGGGUAACCCGCGGCUGGGCACCGAUUGAAAACAGCGGGUUGUCAGCUAUUUAAGUCAAAUUUGCGAGCUACCACAUGCGGGCCGUUUACGACGGCUCACACCGGGUAGAACUCAAUUCAGACUAAUCUAUCACUAG